UCCCCUGAUUCCUUGCGUGAUAUUCUGUAGAUGUCGUCUCUCAUAGUUUCUUAUUACUGGUUCAUGUUAAUUCCAGGUCUCAUGGAGUUGAUAUGUCGAUGUGCCUAAAGUUUUGACCAAUUGUAGGAACCGAUCUUUCUCCAUUAGAGUACACGAUCUCUUGUGCUAGGUGCUAUGCACAUCUGAUUUGUGCUAGUCCAUCAAAACGUGCUCCUGCACAGGCAAGUAAUCCUAAGCGACAAGGAUAAAUGUGAUACCCAUAGCUAACCAGAAUUGCAUAUCUUUUUUUUACAUUUGUUCUUAUUUUAAUACUUUCUCAUCUUUGUCUGGUUGUAAUAGAGUUUAGCACCAACUAAAUAUAUGCUUUCCUAUGCCCAUUCAUAGUUUUUCACUUUUCUAUCACACAUCGAUGCGUGUGUGACAUAUGUUUAGUUCAGACUUACGUUACAUCCAUUGCUUCAUACAUACAAGUAUACAUGGUGUAACAAAGAUCAUAAAUCUAUGUGUUGAGUUGGGCCUUGUUUAGAUGCGAAAACUUUUUGGAUUUCACUACUGUAGCACUUUUGUUUGUUUGUUUGUGACAAAUAUUGUCCAAUCAUAGACUAACUAGGGUUAAAAGAUUCGUCUCGCGAUUUACAGUCAAACUGUGUAAUUAGUUUUUGUUUUUGUCUAUAUUUAAUACUUUAUGCAUGUGUUGCAAGAUUCGAUGUGACGGAGAAUCUUGAAAACAUUUUGGUUUUUGGGGUGAACUAAACAAGGCCUUAGUUUUUUCCCCCUAUAUUAAUAAUGGCUGAAGAUGGCAAGUAGGAAAAACAAUUACUUGGGGACAUUAUCUUUAAAAUGACGAGGCAGGCAUUUAGAUCCAUAUGUCUUCCUUUAUUUAAUUUAUUUUUACUAAUGGUGGAAGCCAGUGACUUGUAUGAGAAUUUAGAAGACUACUAUAGAUUAUUUUUCAUAAUUUUAUAAUGUUAGGAACAUUAGGGGCACCAUAUAUUGACCAAUGCCCAUGACAAAAAUCUGAAUUUUAAAGUGCACCAUAUAUGAAAUCAUAUGUGGCACAGAGGCUGUUUGGACCUAGAAGUCUUGGGUUUCUUUAGUAAACUUUAAUUUUCCAAGGACAAGGCUAUCUAAAAAUUCCCAUCUCACUGGCCCAGUAAACUGCAAGCAAUGUUUCUCAGAGAAGCAACACGCAAGGUUACAAGUUAAGCAUCAACAAGUAAACUAGAUCUAGAAUAAAUAACAGACCCUCUUGUCUACGAAGCACGAAACAGAGGAACAACUUCCAAUCCGCAAAUCCCAUCUCCUGUACCCUCCCCUGCUUGCUUUGUAAAAGGGAAAAAAAGAGCAAGAAUUUAGUAUACCUUGGGCCAGAAGGACGUACUGGGGCAACAGGAAGAUGCGAUGCGACGCGACGUGCAGGUGUGGACGCCCUUCCGCCUCUUGAAGCUCAAUCUGCUAGUCUGCUACCGGAUUCCGUGGACAGGGGCUGCAGUGUCAUGGCUUAGUUGUGCUCGGCGGCUGUGGGGAUUCCGUGGAGUAGCGAGAGCGGAAUCUGGGGAGGGUGUUGAGCACCGUUGGCGGACGCUGGGACUGGGAAUUGGGGAACGCCGGCCGGCGGCGGGGCCCUGUAUUGCCUGGCCUGCGCAGCAACUCCAGCAACGCUGAAAGCGCACGAGCUAACCAAUUUCUCAAAGCAAACAACAGCCCGUUGAGGCUCGUGGUGAUGGUACUCGAGUUUAACUCUAGACAACUAUGAGGAAGAUGGUUUUUCAUGUAUGCCAUUAACCAAGAUGGUCCCUUACUCCAUACCAUUAAAAAGUUAGAACCGGCCAAA
rnacentral:lncRNA from 1 species